GACAGCCACACUCCCCUGGAUAUCAUCAAGAUGUACUUUUCAGAGGAUGCUGUGGCAGCCUGCUUAAGGAAUAGACUGGUCACUGACUGACUUGAGGUUCCUAAAGGAAGAUGAGGUACCGAACUCAGAAAGUAGCUCUAUGAAAGAAGACAAAUACCUGCGCUCUAAAGGAGGACAGUGUAAAAAUGCAGCUCACGAAAGAACAGACAUGGAAAGACAAAGUUGUGUCACAGAAUGAUGAAGAACCUUGGACUGCUUCAAAAGAUUCUUCAAAAGAUUAAAAGUCACCCGACUCA